AGAGUUAAACAGUACGUGAAAUUGUUGAAAGGGAAACGAUUGAAGUCAGUCGUACCGGUGGGUAAUCAGCCUUUCGGUGUGAUUAUGUGGGGUGCGAGGAGUUAAACGCCCUCGUGUUUUGCAUAUUCGUGCUCUUUGGGUGUACUUGCCCGCAUGGUAGGUUAACAUCAAUUUCGGACGUCAUAAAAUGGUUGGAGGAAUGUGGCUUCGAUCUUGUAUUGAAGUGUUAUAGCCUUCGGCAGAUGUGAUGAUCGGGAUUGAGGAUUGCAACGGAUACCCUUCGGGGCUACCCGUCUGAUCUCUGAUAGUUGCUCUGGUGCCGAAAGCGUGCUUACGGUUAUCAAAGUUGACGGUCAACAGGUUAGAACGGGUUAAAUUCGUUAAGGAUGUUGACGUAAUGGCUUUAAACGA
rnacentral:misc_RNA from 1 species